rnacentral:rRNA from 1 species
GUGAGGAAUAUUGGUCAAUGGACGAGAGUCUGAACCAGCCAAGUCGCGUGAAGGAAGACGGUUCUAUGAAUUGUAAACUUCUUUUGUGCAGGAAUAAAGUGGGUUACGUGUAACCUUUUGUAUGUACUGUACGAAUAAGGAUCGGCUAACUCCGUGCCAGCAGCCGCGGUAAUACGGAGGAUCCGAGCGUUAUCCGGAUUUAUUGGGUUUAAAGGGUGCGUAGGUGGAUUGAUAAGUCAGCGGUGAAAGUUUGCAGCUUAACUGUAAAAUUGCCGUUGAAACUGUCGGUCUUGAGUGCAAAUGAGGUAGGCGGAAUGUGUUGUGUAGCGGUGAAAUGCUUAGAUAUAACACAGAACUCCGAUUGCGAAGGCAGCUUACUGGGAUGCAACUGACACUGAUGCACGAAAGCGUGGGUAUCAAACAGGAUUAGAAACCCGGGUAGUCC